rnacentral:sRNA from 1 species
GGAGCAGCGAGGGAACCGCCGCCCGCAUGGCCCCGGCCCGCCGCCCCGCCGGAGCCCGCCUGCUGCUCGUCUACGCGGGCCUGCUGGCCGCCGCCGCGGGCCUGGGGUCCCCGGAGCCUGGGGCGCCCUCGAGGAGCCGCGCCCGCGAGGAGCCGCCGCCCGGGAACGAGCUGCCCCGGGGCCCCGGGGAGAGCCGCGCGGGGCCGGCCGCCCGUCCGCCGGAGCCCACUGCUGAGCGUGCACAUAGCGUCGACCCCCGGGACGCCUGGAUGCUCUUCGUCAGGCAGAGUGACAAGGGUGUCAAUGGCAAGAAGAGGAGCAGGGGCAAGGCCAAGAAGCUGAAGUUCGGCUUGCCAGGGCCCCCUGGGCCUCCCGGUCCCCAGGGCCCCCCAGGCCCCAUCAUCCCACCCGAGGCGCUGCUAAAGGAGUUCCAGCUGCUGCUGAAAGGCGCGGUGCGGCAGCGGGAGCGCGCGGAGCCCGAACCCUGUACGCGUGGCCCCGCCGGGCCGGUCGCUGCGAGCCUCGCCCCGGUCUCGGCCACCGCCGGGGAGGACGACGACGACGUGGCGGGGGACGUGCUGGCACUGCUGGCCGCGCCCCUGGCCCCGGGGCCGCGGGCGCCGCGCGUGGAGGCUGCUUUCCUCUGCCGCCUGCGCCGGGACGCGUUGGUGGAGCGGCGCGCGCUGCACGAGCUCGGCGUCUACUACCUGGUGAGUGCGGGCGCGCGGGAGGGCGGGUGGGUCCGGCCGGGUGGGACCCGGGGUGACCAUCCGUGCCCCUCGCAGCCCGACGCCGAGGGUGCCUUCCGCCGCGGCCCGGGCCUGAACUUGACCAGCGGCCAGUACAGGGCGCCCGUGGCUGGCUUCUACGCUCUCGCCGCCACGCUGCACGUGGCGCUCGGGGAGCCGCCGAGGAGGGGGCCGCCGCGCCCCCGGGACCACCUGCGCCUGCUCAUCUGCAUCCAGUCCCGGUGCCAGCGCAACGCGUGAGUGCACCCCGGCCCGGACCCCACACCCGCAUUCGCUCGGCCUCCACAAGCUGGAGGUGGUUAAACAGGCACUGGACGGGGCUUCCGCCCGUUCACACCCCACCGUGGCCUAGGUGACCCCACACCUUCUUCUAGGUCUCCCGGUCUACUUCUGCCCCUAUCAGGCCUUCCGUUCACAGCAACCAGGACCUGUUAAAAAUGACCUUUCCAGCCGGGCGCGGUGGCUCACGCCUGUAAUCGCAGCGCUUUGGGAGGCCGAGGCGGGAGGAUCACGAGGUCAGGAGAUCGAGACCAUCCUGGCUAACAUGGUGAAACCCCGUCUCUACUAAAAAUACAAAAAAUUACCCGGGCGUGGUGGGUGCC